UUCCGGUUGAUCCUGCCGGAGGCUACCGCUAUUGGAGUUCGAUUAAGCCAUGCGAGUCGAGAGUCUUAGGGACUCGGCGUACCGCUCAGUAACACGUGGGUAACCUGCCCUAUGCUGGGGAAUAACCUCGGGAAACUGAGAAUAAUGCCCCAUAGUCCACUACGCCUGGAACGGUGAGUGGAUCAAAGCUCCGGCGGCAUAGGAUGGGCCUGCGCCGUAUCAGGUUGUAGGGGGUGUAAAGUACCCUCUAGCCAUCAACGCGUACGGGUGUUGGGAGACAUUGCCCGGAGAUGGAUUCUGAGACACGAAUCCAGACCCUACGGGGUGCAGCAGGCGCGAAAACUUGGCAAUGCGAGCAAUCGUGACCAGGGAACUCCAAGUGCUUGGGGUAAGACCCAAGCUUUUCUUGACUCUUCAAAGGUCUUGGAAUAAGGGGUGGGUAAGGACGGUGCCAGCCGCCGCGGUAAUACCGGCGCCUCAAGUGGUAGUCGCUUUUAUUGGGCCUAAAACGUUCGUAGCCGGUCUGGUGCAUUCGUGGGUAAAUCAACCCGCUCAACGGGUUGAAUUCUGCGAGCACGGCCAGACUUGGGACCGGGAGAGGUGUGGGGUACUCUCAGGGUAGGGGUAAAAUCCUGUCAUCCUGAGAGGACCACCUGUUGCGAAGGCGCCACACUAGAACGGAUCCGACGGUCAGGGACGAAACCUAGGGGCACGAACCGGAUUAGAUACCCGGGUAGUCCUAGGUGUAAACGCUGUGGACUUGAUGUCGGGGGCGCUCCGAGCGCUUUCAGUGUCGAAGCGAAGGUGAUAAGUCCACUGCCUGGGGAGUACGGUCGCAAGGCUGAAACUUAAAGGAAUUGGCGGGGGAGCACUGCAACCUGAGGAUUGUGCGGUUUAAUUGGAUUCAACGCCGGAAAUCUCUGGA
rnacentral:rRNA from 1 species